AAUGAACUGGAACCGUCUGGAAAGUCGGGCCGUAGUGGGUGACAGCCCCGUACAGGUGAGUGAGAAAAGAGACUUGAGUAGGGCGGGACACGUGAAAUCCUGUCUGAACAUGGGGGGACCACCCUCCAAGCCUAAGUACUCCUUACCAACCGAUAGUGAACCAGUACCGUGAGGGAAAGGUGAAAAGCACCCCGACAAGGGGAGUGAAAGAGUACCUGAAACCGGAUGCCUACAAACAGUCGGAGCGCGCAAGCGUGACGGCGUACCUUUUGUAUAAUGGGUCAUCGACUUGGUCUAUCUAGCAAGCUUAAGCCGUUAGGUGUAGGCGCAGCGAAAGCGAGUCUUAAUAGGGCGCAUGAGUUAGAUGGAUCAGACCCGAAACCGAGUGAUCUAGGCAUGAUCAGGAUGAAGGCAAGGUAACACUUGCUGGAGGUCCGAACCCACA
rnacentral:rRNA from 1 species